AUUGAAACGCUGGCGGCAGGCCUAACACUGCAAGUCGAGCGGAAACGAGUUAUCUGAACCUUCGGGGAACGAUAAGGCGUCGAGCGGCGGACGGGUGAGUAAUGCCUAGGAAAUUGCCCUGAUGUGGGGGAUAACCAUUGGAAACGAUGGCUAAUACCGCAUGAUGCCUACGGGCCAAAGAGGGGGACCUUCGGGCCUCUCGCGUCAGGAUAUGCCUAGGUGGGAUUAGCUAGUUGGUGAGGUAAGGGCUCACCAAGGCGACGAUCCCUAGCUGGUCUGAGAGGAUGAUCAGCCACACUGGAACUGAGACACGGUCCAGACUCCUACGGGAGGCAGCAGUGGGGAAUAUUGCACAAUGGGCGCAAGCCUGAUGCAGCCAUGCCGCGUGUAUGAAGAAGGCCUUCGGGUUGUAAAGUACUUUCAGUCGUGAGGAAGGCGGCGUCGUUAAUAGCGGCGUUGUUUGACGUUAGCGACAGAAGAAGCACCGGCUAACUCCGUGCCAGCAGCCGCGGUAAUACGGAGGGUGCGAGCGUUAAUCGGAAUUACUGGGCGUAAAGCGCAUGCAGGUGGUUUGUUAAGUCAGAUGUGAAAGCCCGGGGCUCAACCUCGGAAUAGCAUUUGAAACUGGCAGACUAGAGUACUGUAGAGGGGGGUAGAAUUUCAGGUGUAGCGGUGAAAUGCGUAGAGAUCUGAAGGAAUACCGGUGGCGAAGGCGGCCCCCUGGACAGAUACUGACACUCAGAUGCGAAAGCGUGGGGAGCAAACAGG
rnacentral:rRNA from 1 species